rnacentral:siRNA from 1 species
UUGUUAAUAUCAUGUUUCUGC